CGGACGGGUGAGUAAUGUCUGGGAAACUGCCUGAUGGAGGGGGAUAACUACUGGAAACGGUAGCUAAUACCGCAUAACGUUGCAAGACCAAAGAGGGGGACCUUCGGGCCUCUUGCCAUCGGAUGUGCCCAGAUGGGAUUAGCUAGUAGGUGGGGUAACGGCUCACCUAGGCGACGAUCCCUAGCUGGUCUGAGAGGAUGACCAGCCACACUGGAACUGAGACACGGUCCAG
rnacentral:rRNA from 1 species